ACGAGAGAAAACCCUAGCUAGAUGUAGACUUUAUGGGACUAGCUAAAGUUCAAAGCCAAGAGAAAGAUGUACAAAUCGGUAAAGGAAGUCAUCCACUCCGUGAUCUCUCAAUCCAGCGUUCACGGCCUUCCCAGAAUCCUCUCUUCCAAACACAGCCCUCUUUGAACCAAUUCAUCACUUAUGAAAAGGCUCAGCAGGAAAUGAAAAAUGAUCCAAGAAGUGAAAAAGUGAAAGUUUUUAAGAACCUCUUUCAAAACAUGUCCAAAUCUACCCGGAAAGAGUUAGGACAUCGCAUUGAGGAUUUACUGAUAGAAUGUUCCUUCAACGGCAAACAGUGUUCAGCAGAGAACUUUACUCUCUUUCAAUCUCUUGACUUUGGAAAUUGUUAUACUUUGGAAAGCAAUCUAUUCAUUGCCAGAAGACCGGGUCCUAUGAAUGGUUUACAAAUGAUAUUACAAGUAGAAAAGUUUGAGCAAGAGGAAAACUUUUUGGAUGGGUCGGGUGUUCGACUGGUCAUACAUGAACCCGGAACUCUUCCGUUUCCUGAAGAAGAAGGAUUCACCCUUAGUCCUGGAUAUGAGACAAGCAUAGGAAUGAAAAUGGUCGCAUUAUCUCGAUCCAAACCUCCUUAUGGCAAUUGUAGUGAAGGGGAAAGUUUCUACCAAACCUACGGCGUGCACUACACAAUGUCGACAUGCCUUCAUAUUUGCAGAAAUAUCAAUGUCAUAGAGAUAUGUAAAUGCAGACCUUCGGAAAAUAUAGUAGACAUUGACUAUAUGGACCAGUUUUAUUCGCUACCUGUUUGUUCUCUAGAAAAUAACAAGACUAAAAAACACAACUUCAAGAGGACUUGUGAGGAAUAUGUAUACUACCAGAUAGAGGAAAACAAAAUCAAUUGUGGAUGUGAAAGUGCUUGCAGUUUAAAAGACAACUUCCUAAAAACAGUGAUUUAUUACGAGGAUCUAAAUUUUGAGGAAAUAUCAGAGGAGCCUCUUUACGAUGGUUUUCGGUUCCUCUCGGAUAUAGGCGGUACCCUUGGACUCUUCUUGGGCGCGUCCAUUUUGAGUUUUGUCGAGCUCGUUCAACUCAUGGUAGAAAUUUUAUACUACUUCCGGUACAAAUGUUUGAAAAACAAACCGGCUGUGAAGAAGAAUCGCAUUCAAGUUGAACCUGUUUAGGGACCUAGUAUGGUUAAUGGUUGACAGUUUAAAGCGAAAAUAAAGGAACAUUGUCACGUAAAUUGUGUUUAAAUAAUAUGAUCUAUCUGGAAAUUGAUAUCUUGGAUUUUGACCGCCAGAACGUCGAUAAUCGAAGGGGAUGUAAUUGAAAUUAGACGUUCUGAAUUUGCUACUGCUAC
rnacentral:sRNA from 1 species